UCCUGCCUCUGUCUGCCCGCCUCUGAACCUGCCCUGCCCUGAACCCGUGGCAUGUAUCUCGGGGGUGGGUCUGAGGAGCAGAAGCCUCUUUAAAAGGCUUCCCUCUUUGCAUUUUUGUCUUCAUGAGGGAGGCUCGUUGUAACAGAAGUCAAAGCAAAAGAAAGCACCCCAGGAUCCCACCUCCAGAGGAAACUGACCGGGGAAACUGAAGCCUCGAAUGGGCAGAGCCUCAUGGCCACGCGGUGAGGCUGUGGCUGGAGCCUGGCUGCGGAGUCCUUGCCCUGAAGCUCCAGCAUCCUGCACAGCCUGGGGCUAAUUGGGAGAGGUACCUGGGAGACCCCCACGCAUGGUUCCUCAGGCUCCGUCUCAGGAGUGUGGGAGUAGGGCUGGCACAGGAAAAUCCACCUUGCACUCUUAUGGCACAUACAGGGCACAGGAUGUCCAGGCAGCAACAUGACUUUGUGACAACACCUAGAGGGAGAGAGACCUGGACCUCAGAUCUGCCACACACUGUGAAGCCUGG
rnacentral:lncRNA from 1 species